GCAGUCGAACGAACUCUGGUAUUGAUUGGUGCUUGCAUCAUGAUUUACAUUUGAGUGAGUGGCGAACUGGUGAGUAACACGUGGGAAACCUGCCCAGAAGCGGGGGAUAACACCUGGAAACAGAUGCUAAUACCGCAUAACAACUUGGACCGCAUGGUCCGAGUUUGAAAGAUGGCUUCGGCUAUCACUUUUGGAUGGUCCCGCGGCGUAUUAGCUAGAUGGUGGGGUAACGGCUCACCAUGGCAAUGAUACGUAGCCGACCUGAGAGGGUAAUCGGCCACAUUGGGACUGAGACACGGCCCAAACUCCUACGGGAGGCAGCAGUAGGGAAUCUUCCACAAUGGACGAAAGUCUGAUGGAGCAACGCCGCGUGAGUGAAGAAGGGUUUCGGCUCGUAAAACUCUGUUGUUAAAGAAGAACAUAUCUGAGAGUAACUGUUCAGGUAUUGACGGUAUUUAACCAGAAAGCCACGGCUAACUACGUGCCAGCAGCCGCGGUAAUACGUAGGUGGCAAGCGUUGUCCGGAUUUAUUGGGCGUAAAGCGAGCGCAGGCGGUUUUUUAAGUCUGAUGUGAAAGCCUUCGGCUCAACCGAAGAAGUGCAUCGGAAACUGGGAAACUU
rnacentral:rRNA from 2 species